rnacentral:rRNA from 1 species
AUGAACGCUGGCGGCGUGCUUAACACAUGCAAGUCGAACGAUGAUCCCCAGCUUGCUGGGGUGAUUAGUGGCGAACGGGUGAGUAACACGUGAGUAACCUGCCCCCGACUCUGGGAUAAGCCCGGGAAACUGGGUCUAAUACCGGAUAUUCACUUCCUUCCGCAUGGAGGGUGGUGGAAAGGUCUUUUCCGGUCGGGGAUGGACUCGCGGCCUAUCAGCUUGUUGGUGGGGUAGUGGCCCACCAAGGCGACGACGGGUAGCCGGCCUGAGAGGGUGACCGGCCACACUGGGACUGAGACACGGCCCAGACUCCUACGGGAGGCAGCAGUGGGGAAUAUUGCACAAUGGGCGCAAGCCUGAUGCAGCGACGCCGCGUGAGGGAUGACGGCCUUCGGGUUGUAAACCUCUUUCAGUAGGGAAGAAGCGAAAGUGACGGUACCUGCAGAAGAAGCGCCGGCUAACUACGU